ensembl:snRNA U2 U2 spliceosomal RNA
AUCGCUUCUCAGCCUUUUGGCUGAGAUCAAGUGUAGUAUCAUAUAUUCAUGUACCUAUUUAUGAUUAAACUAUAACUACCU